AGAGAUUCCUGCCUGCAACCUUGGAGAAGCCGCUGCCAGUCUGUUAAGACAACACUGAGCUAGAUAGACCAAGGGUCGGACUCAGGAUAUGGCAGCUUCCUAUGUCGUCGUCGUCAUCAUCAUCAUCAUCAUCAUCAUCAGUCCCAUUCUCCUUUGAGCAUGAAAAUGUCGAUUGCCGGAGAUGUGCUCUUUUAUGCGCUGAAAAUCUCAUGCUGGCAUUUGUGACGUGAUUGCCCCCCUCCCGGCAUUUAAAGGGGAGGGCUGUAGUCAAGACGUGAUGCUCUGGAGACUGGCCCCUAGAGCACAGCGUCAUGGCCCCUGCUAAGUAGGCCCAUCUGCUUACAGAGAAAUAGAUGUGCCGAACUGUUUACUGACGUUCUGCUCCCGUUCCUUGUGUCACCUGAAAUCUAUCAUCCCACUCUGUGGCUGCUGCACUGCCGCGCUGGCGAAUCGGGGAAGGGGAGCAUCGGUGCGCAGCCUUUCGAAAAUGAUACGCGAUCUGUCAGCUCCUGUCAUGGCGAUGGAAUCACGGGCAGCCAAGUAUCAACCAGAGCUGCCCCUGAGAUCAGAGAAGGGGGAGGACCAUCCAUCAAUCCUUCCUCUUUGAAUUCAAGCUGUGAUCAAGCCAGCUGUCUGCUGGAAGAACUGUGUGGCAGAAAUGGCUCUGCCUCCAUGGCCAGGACAUGGUGUUCUACUCUGCGCCUGGCCAGAUCUCGGGUACCUGCUUCCAGGGAGGGGAUGCUCUUCGUCUUCCUGCUCAUCAGUCAUAACCUGAAGCAAAUUCCAAUAUGCUUGCAAGCAUUCUUGUACAGUAUUAAGUGACCCGAUGGAUCCAUGUCUUAAGGUAUGAUGCCAUUUUCUCCAUUUGUAUAACAAAAGUGGGUUCUUUCACACAACCAUAUGGGGGGGGGGUGAGUUGAAGGCACGCUCCUAUCUUGUGCUUCCCCUCAUGCCUUUGGGCUCUGCAGCUCAUGAGCCCACACAAAUACCACAGCAGCAUCCUCCAUUGCUGAAAUUGGGAGCUGGGGGGGGUAUCCACAUAUCCCACAAUGCAUUGCACGAGCAGCAAAGA